rnacentral:ncRNA from 1 species
AUAAAGUUUUAUUCUUGCUUUGUUAUUUGUGUAAAAAAUGAUUUACAUAUAUGGGAUGAAAUUAUAUGUAUAUGGAAAGAGGUAUAUAUAUUGCUGAAUGAUUAUAUAGGUAGUGAUUAGUAUUAUACAAUCAAAUUGAUUUGGAUAUAGUUUUUUUAUUAGUAUUGGUUAAAUGCGUGCCAGCUGCUGCGGUUAGACGUGAAAUGCAAAUGAAUAUUUUUGAUUAGAAGUUAAUUGUAUUGAAUUCAAAAAAUGUAUAAUUAUGAUUUGGUGGAAUGAUUAAGUUGUAAUUUUUUUGAUAAUUAAUUUAGUGAGGCUUUGAAAUAAAAUGAUAAACUAGGAUUAGAUACCCUAUUAUUAAUUAUGUAAAUGUUUGUGAAUGGAAUAUAUCAGAGUAGUAAUAGUUAUGAUCUUGAAACUCAAAGAAUUUGGCGGUAUUUUAGUCCUUUUAGAGGAAUCUGUCCUGUAAUUGAUAAUACACGAUUUAUUUAACUUAAUCUUGUUUACAGUUUAUAUACCGCCGUCGGUAAGAUUAUCUUAAGGAGAGAAUAAAAUUUCAUUAUAUUUUAUUAUAUAUUAUGUCAGGUCAAGGUGUAGCUGAUGAUUAAGAAGAGAUGGAUUACAAUAAAACUAUUUUGAUGGAUAAUAAUUUGAAAAUUUAUUUGAAAGUGGAUUUAAUUGUAAAUGAAUAUAAAUUGAUUUAUUGAUUUGGGCUCUAGAAUGUGUACAUAUCGCCCGUCGCUCUCGUUUUAAGAUGAGAUAAGUCGUAACAUAGUAGAUGUACCGGAAGGUGUAUCUGGAAUGG